rnacentral:rRNA from 1 species
UACGUAGGGCGUGAGCGUUAAUCGGAAUUACUGGGCGUAAAGUGUGCGCAGGCGGCAGAGCAAGUCGAGUGUGAAAGCCCCGGGCUUAACUUGGGAAUUGCGCUCGAAACUACUUUGCUGGAGUGUGGCAGAGGAAGGUGGAAUUCCACGUGUAGCGGUGAAAUGCGUAGAGAUGUGGAGGAACACCAAUGGCGAAGGCAGCCUUCUGGGCCAACACUGACGCUCAUGCACGAAAGCGUGGGGAGCAAACAGG